rnacentral:lncRNA from 1 species
AUGGCUUCACAACUGCUCAGUAACUACUGCUAAGAAUAUCACAUCCGUUAUGCUGUUUAUUGAAAAGCUUUAUAGAGCACUGAGUAUUUACAAGUUUGAAAACAACUGUUCAUUCCACUUCAGGUCUAGAAAGACAUAGGCAUGCAUCUGACCAUAUUUGUGGAAAGUAACUCAGCUGUACAAUUUGAAAACAUGUUCAGUCAGUUGCUAUUAGAGUAUUGCUAGAAGCUGAACUCAUUACCUCACACUGUUGCUUAUAUAUAUUUCAAAUAAGCUGAACCACGGCCAGCAGGCCUUUGGCAGAAUUCAUUAGAGACUGGGAUAUCAGGACAACUGCAGUUAAGCAAGAAAACUUGUUAUGAGAUGAGGAGACAAAAAUUCAAUUUAAUUUAUUUACAAGUCCAGGUCUGCAAUUGAAUAUUUGGUCAAACUACUGCCAUAUUCUUCCUUCAAGUCACUAUGCUAUGAAGAGGCAUGCACCGUGCAUAGAACAGAGCCAUCUGUACCCUUUCAGAUAGAGCAAAUGUAUGACUUCAUAACAAUGUCCUCCUUCAAGAAAACAGAACAAAAGAAAGCAAUUAUUAAUAGUUAUUAAGAACGCUUCGCUGGAGUCUAGAAAUACAGAAUGACAGACACACCUACCUCAAUGGGUUGCAUUUACAUCAGAGCAGUGAUCAGCCUACCAGGAAAAUUAUCACUGUAACCAACACACUCAUUGUUGAAAGUGAUCAUGAGAUUCUGAACUGUAGUUUAGGGAAGCGAUGGAGGCGGCAGAAGGCCGGGCGAGAGCUGUGCUACCCGUGCAGGACAGUUCGAGAGUGACACCGCGUGGAGCCGCUGGGAGCGGCCCCUAAGGCUCAGCCAGAGGAAGGAACUAAGCACUGCUACAGCCUGGAAAGAAAUUUAAACAGGCAGAUAGUCCUUUGUGUUUAAUCCAGGAUAAGGAAAAAAAAAAAAAAAAAAAAACAACAACUAUAUGCUUUCACUUAUGCAUUUAUUUUUAGGCAUUUGCUACACUGCUAGGCGUAUCUUGCACCUAAAA